AAAGAAAAAGUAUUAGUUGUUGAUAAUGUCAGUUGACAUUGCUUGUAAAUAUUUAAACUCUAAGUCAUAUUUGUAGAUUUUUAGACACUAUAGUAGGUAAAAUUAAAUAACUAAUUAAUCAAUAGGUACAAAUGAAAGAAGAUACCUUCAUGAUUGCUGAACAACAACGCUCACCAUCAGUAUUUAGAUGAUACAAGUUCUUCAAGUUUAGUUUUCCUCUGUGCAGCUGUGUCUUCAUCUUUCUCAAUUAGAGAAGCAACAUUAGAGUUCCUUGGGGGAGACUAUGACAGAAAGCCGAUAUCCUCUGUACUGAGCAAUGAAUGCUGGAGAUAUAAAGAAAUUCAGGCUGUGUCUCCAUCAGAUCUGUCCAUGAUCAUUCUUUGCUACAGCCUGGUGCUCUCUCACCUUUACAUUAUUUCAAGCCUCAUACAUUUCUCUGAUUACUCUACUGAGAUGUGAAUGGCAGCUGUUCUAUUUUACAGAGGAAUAAUCACAUUAACCAUUGGUGUGAAAGGCUGAAAAUCUCUUUGAUGCUCUUGACUAAGCACUAAAAGCCAGGGCCACGUCUGACAACUUGACUUUGUUACUUCAGAGUAGAAGGUGUCUGAGACUGUUUUUGAUAUCAUCUUUACAUGGGAGUUGGUUGGU
rnacentral:lncRNA from 1 species